rnacentral:rRNA from 1 species
UGGGGAAUUUUGGACGAUGGGCGAAAGCCUGAUCCAGCAAUGCCGCGUGUGUGAAGAAGGCCUUCGGGUUGUAAAGCACUUUUGUCCGGAAAGAAAUCCUUGGGCUCUAAUACAGUCGGGGGGAUACGGUACCGGAAGAAUAAGCACCGGCUAACUACNUGCCAGCAGCCGCGGUAAUACNUAGGGUGCAAGCGUUAAUCGGAAUUACUGGGGCGUAAAGCGUGCGCAGGCGGUUUGCUAAGACCGAUGUGAAAUCCCGGGCUCAACCUGGGAACUGCAUUGGUGACUGGCAGGCUAGAGUAUGGCAGAGGGGGGUAGAAUUCCACGUGUAGCAGUGAAAAUGCGUAGAGAUGUGGAGGAAUACCGAUGGCG